AUGGCCGCCUCCCUUCUUUUGCACCUGUGCCUCGACCCGUUCCCCUCUGCCUCCUCAUCGUCCCCGACCCCAGCCACCGGAUCCGGCCGGAUCGAGCCGGCCCGCAUCCGCGUCCGCCAUCACCACCACCUUGCUCCGUCGCUCUCUGGACCAGCUCUGUUGCCAGGAGCCGCUGCCUCCCCGCGCCAUCCGGUCGUCGCGUUGUCAUCUCCAGCUACCUGCACCCUCACCUCCUCUGCUCAACGACUUUUGUGUCGCUCGAUUUGGACGUCGUUGAGCCUUUGUUCGUCAUCGUUUUCACCACGAGCCCAUGCCCGCUUCCUGCCACUGCUCAUGCACUGCCUGGCCUUCUUGCUUCCCACCAAAGGCCUUUUGGGCUACCAUGGUUUUGGAUCGACAAGGACGAGAACGCCAAGUACCACAACUACAGCCUGUGUGCAUUUUUGUCAAGUCCGACUAUGA
rnacentral:rRNA from 1 species